rnacentral:miRNA from 1 species
ACCUGGCCUUAGCUCAGUUGGUUCUAAUGAUGCUAAUGGUGCUAAUAAUGCCAAGGUCAUGGGUUCCAUCCCAUACAGGCCA